rnacentral:lncRNA from 1 species
CUUUCUACAGGUUAUUUUAAAAUAUUUUUUUGUAUUAUAAAGGGUAGGGUUUUACAUUCCUUUUCUGAUUUCUGAGUAGGUGUAACUUCUUUUUCUUAUUUAAUAAAAUUUUUCUUGUACCGUCGAGGAUUUAAAAAAAAAAAAACUUUAGCAACCCAUUUUUCUUUAAAAGAAAAAAGAUAUAUAAAUUUAAAUUUGAAAUCUCUUCUAAUAUUAAAAAUAUAAAUACGAUUAAGCGUAUGAGUAAGUUAAUGCUUUGAAUUUAACAACUUUCGUACUAACCAUCCAAGAUAUUAAUAUUUAUGUGUGAAGACUGUUGAAAUAUCUCGCAUCAGCAGAAUGAGGAAGAAAAUAAGAGUUUAAAUAUCAUAAUCUGACUCUAACUAAUACUGAAACCUUUUAUAAUAAAACCUCACAUCUGUCGGACGGUGCUGGUGGUAAUUAACAAGUGGGUGAUAAUAUCAACAUUAUUGGAAGUGGGUGUUUGGCCUAUCUCAUGUUUUUAAUUACGUUAUGUAACUCCUAACCUCUCAAAUAGCAGUCACACUCGUGUCAAAUGAAUUUUUCUAUUCUAUUGUAGUUUAAUUUGUCACACAUAUUUCUAAAAUGCUAGCUUGUAGUUGAACACUAGCCUCUCAUAUCGCUAGUGUCAAAUAGCUUUUUUUUCUAACCAUCACGGGAUGAUUUAGUGGUUGGAAAUGAAUUUCAGGUUUGUAUAUCACACGACACGUCCUGGGUUUAAUUCUUGACGCUCGUGAAUUAUACAAUGGUGGUUAGGCGGAGGCUGAAAUGCCUCUGUAUAUUUUUCUGGCCUAAGAAAAGCGGACUGCUGUGAUGAAACCAAUAGCUAAAAAAAAUCCUGUUUUUUUUUAGUUUAAUUUGUCACUUCUAUUGGUAGGGUGAUAAGCUAUAAAUCUAUAAAAGCGGCCAUGUAGUUGCACCUUAAAUAUAAGUUGAAGACGAUGAAUCAGUAAAGUUUGACGAUGUUGCAGAACAGUUGAUUAAACGUCAGUCGGUGAUUGUGUUGGCAAGUUUAUGGGAAAGUUUAGACAUGUUGAUUACAAGACACUGUUUGCUUUGUGAUUUAAUCAUCUUGUCUUUUCUCUGUCUCUAAAGCCAAACUCUUAACUCGCACGUAACUACUUUGACAUUUCUAUCGACUUUUCUACAAUGUUUGCAUCAAAAUUCAAAACCAUAGUACUGGGGGUGUUCAUUUGCCUUAAUUAAUUAGGUUCAAAGGACAAGCUAGUAGUUGGGUCAGAUACCAGUACUGUUCUAAAAAUUCUCGCCUAAUGCCGUCUAGACGUUAGGUGGCUGACCAUCGCUCCGAUUAAUGCAUAGACGUUUGAAAAUUAAGAAAUAGCGCCUAGACCUGUUGAGGUGCUCGCCUAGUCCGCCUAGGCACCCGACUAGCCCGCCCAGACCCUCCUUGGUCGCGACUCACUUAGACAGAAAAUAAAUAACUUUCAGUUUGCAUUUUUUUAAGUAAAUUGUAAGAAACUUGUUGCAUACUUAAAUAAACACACAUUAUAUUAUUGUUUCCUAUGUUUUCAUUAUGUUCCAAUACUUCAUAAUAUAUAUGUCAUUAUAUUUUGUAGUUUAUAAUGAAAUUAUAUAUAUUUUAAGUAUAAGCAUACACUUAUUUAUACGAAAUACAAUAGAUUUACUUAAAUCCGCCUAGGCGCUAGGCCCCAGCCCACCGCUCGACUAUCGCCUAGCGUUUUUUAGAACAUACGAGUGCAUGUUUGUUCAUUACCUUAAGUAGUGGCAACGAUGAACCCAUAAUUUAAUAAUAAUGGAGUCACAAUUUUGGCCAAAAAAAGCUUUAUUGAAUCAUUUUGUUGAGCUUUUGGUGAGUACUUACCAAGUAUUAUGAGUUUUGUUGAUGAUUAUCGAGUGAGAUUUUUUUUAUCAAACACUUAUUGAGCACCAUAAGGUGAGGUCAAGCAUAAGAAAUAAGAGAAGAACGACAGAGGAAAGAAAGAAGAAAAUUUAUAAUAACUAUAUAGGGGUUGUACAAAAGAAUCAUCAGUUUGUAAUUCAAUGUUUUGACUCAUUUUUCAGUUUGCUACAAUUGUGUAUAGUCAUAUACAAAUAUAUAGAUAAAUAUACAUUGGGGUUAUAAAGUUAUUGGGGUCAGGAACAGCCAAUUAUCCCAUGUUUGCUCCACCACUGUGUAGUGGUAAUACUCACCACUCGACUUAUUAUCAUUGUAUGAGUUUAAAUUUUGAGAUUUAUGUUCAUUCACUAUACAUAUCUUGAAAUUUAAAUUCAUCUAAAGGUGAUAAAUAGGGUAGUAAGCAUCACCAUCACUUAAGGUUAGCGAGCAAAAGUAUUCCCGCCAGAUACAGGGAACGGAGGGCCGCAUCCUUUAUGAAUGCGAGGAACUAUGUGAUGGCUGGCUGAUGACCACGACAGAGAAAGGGGAUUGGGAGAAAUUGGUAACCUCGUGAUAUUAAUAGCGGGUGUGUGGGAGGUCCCAGUAAAUUGGAGACGCAACUUAGAAAGGGAUGUGAGAAAUGAAGUAUCAAAGAAAUGAGUGAUAAAUUCCAGUUGGUGGAACAGUCAUAGGCUUAGCACUCAGAAGUGGAACAAAAUGUUGGACAAUUCAACUUUGAUGUUUCAAUAUUAUAAGGCAGGUGGCAUAAUUAACCUAGUGGUAAAUGGGACAUAAUCAACUUGUAAUUUCAUCGUGUUAGGUG